ensembl:lncRNA
GUUUGAGCUUAGCGAUCUUGUUUUUUUUUCUCUCUCAUUCAGCUGGUUGUCAUCGUCUCUGAAAAAUCAUAUAAAUAACCAACCCAUAAGGAAAUAAUGUUUCCUGCUUAUUGUCUUUCUUUUUACUUAUAUCAUGACUCACAUUUUACCCUUCCAUCUUGUUUUUGUUUUGGCUGCAUGAUUUGGGGGUAUCUUAGCUCCAUGACCAUGGAUGGAACCCAGGCCCCUGGCUGUGGAAGCACAGAGUCCCAACCACUAGACCACCAGGGAGGUCCCUACCCUUCUGUCUUGAAUGGACUGCCUUAAGCAAAGUCACUGGAUGGCUGACUCAGGUUUCAUGUAACCAAACACAGCUUGAAAGCUCUCUUCCCUGUCGCUUACAACAAAGUGCCCAUGGAAGAGUUUAUGGUGCAGACGUAUGUGCUUGACAUCAACCUUCUCAUCUUUUCUUAGUAAAAAGACGCAAUAUACACUGCGGCACCACACACCCCCCACCCCACUCCACAGAGGGAUCAGAAUCUGGAUAAUUUUGAAAUAAUUAGAUCUAACAGAAGCAGAAGAUAUUAAGAAGAGGUGGC